rnacentral:misc_RNA from 1 species
GAUGAAGAACGCAGCGAAAUGCGAUAAGUAAUGUGAAUUGCAGAAUUCAGUGAAUCAUCGAAUCUUUGAACGCACAUUGCGCCCCCUGGUAUUCCGGGGGGCAUGCCUGUCCGAGCGUCAUUACAACCCUCAAGCUCAGCUUGGUGUUGGGCCCCGCCGCCCCGGCGGGCCCUAAAGUCAGUGGCGGUGCCGUCCGGCUCCGAGCGUAGUAAUUCUUCUCGCUCUGGAGGUCCGGUCGUGUGCUCGCCAGCAACCCCCAAUUUUUUUCAGGUUGACCUCGGAUCAGGUAGGGUUACCCGCUGAACUUAAGCAUAUCAAUAAGCGGAGGA